rnacentral:tRNA from 2 species
GGUCCCUUAGCUCAGUGGUUAGAGCGUCUGACUCAUAAUCAGGGGGUCGUAGGUUCAAAUCCUACAGGGACCA